GACUAUCUGAGAUAAAUUCAGUAUCAUGAUGGCCACAGAAGUCCCAGCAACAAUAAAGCUCACGAUAUAAGCACACCGUUCUGAUUUCUGAGUAAUGCAUCUGAUGACAAAUAGAAUAGUAAAAUGAGAUUCAUAGUGCAAAGAGAAAUGACAUUUUCUGUUAGAACAAUUCAACAGCCUUAUAUACAAACUAGAGCAUGAAGUGCCUUCUAGAAUUGAUAAAAAAAGUAAGCAGAUCCAUUUAGAACAGCAGAAUAGAACUGCCCAGCCACACUGCAGACUUCAGCAAUCCUAGCUUUUUCUUCACCUGCAGAUACAUUAAGGUUUUGCUAAGUAUAUACCAAAAUAAACAUGGUUCAAUGGUAAAUAGCUCGGGCCUGGCAGAAUACAAUUUGUUUGAGGAAUGCAAUAUGUUGGAGAAGGACAUUUCAGACUUUUUAGAAAAGGACAUUUCAGAUAGGGAGCAAAUAUCUCAUCAAGCAAACAAUUGAUAAAUUCUGAAUUCCAAAGGCUACAAAUUUAUCUUCAACAUAAGUGGUUAUCACUUGUGCCAUCACUAAUAAGAUGAAAACAUGUAAUCCUGCUCUCAACAAUCUCUAGCUAUGUACUCUUAGUUAGGUCUGAAUGGUUGAAACAAUAUGCUCAUGAGAAAUUAACAUAUGAUACGAAGUUAACACAAAAAUCAUCAUGAAUACAUGAUCGUGUCAGAAUCAGAGUAUUAGACGAAACACUUAAAAUAGCAGCAGAGUAUUCUGACUGUUUGUAGAUCCACAGUGGGUUUUAUUUGAGUUUCUUUAUGAACUGUUUUCUUUUGAAAUUAUUGCCCGUGAAAUUCUCUGUUCUGUGAUUUGCUUGGCAUCAGAUUUCUAACAUCAUUGAAAGCAAUGACAAACAAUUAAUUUGACUGCAAUGGUUAAACUACUUCCCACAGAAAACAUUUGGACAACCUCGGAUUGGGAAUGCUGUAUUGCCUCACAUUUCAAUUGUUAUUUGCCAAAUGCGAUUCGAGUGAUGUUUCAACCAAUGCACACGAUACUGUGCCUCAUUUAUCCCCAUACUACCACAUCUUCCCACAUCUCAAGUGAUGUUUCAACCUCAAAAAAGAUUGAAGAACACGUUCUGGACAUACCUGCUGGGAGGAGGAUGUGGAGCAGCACCCGGCCGGGAGAGGAACGCUGGAGUAGCAGCCAGACGGGAGGGGGACGGGGCAGCAACCAGCCGGGAGGGGGAUGGGGCGGCGGCCGAGGAGGAGGGGUUGGCGCCGGCGGACGGCUGUG
rnacentral:lncRNA from 1 species